CCUACGGGUGGCUGCAGUGAGGAAUAUUGGUCAAUGGGCGCGAGCCUGAACCAGCCAAGUAGCGUGAAGGAUGACUGCCCUACGGGUUGUAAACUUCUUUUAUAAAGGAAUAAAGUGAGGCACGUGUGCCUUUUUGUAUGUACGUUAUGAAUAAGGAUCGGCUAACUCCGUGCCAGCAGCCGCGGUAAUACGGAGGAUCCGAGCGUUAUCCGGAUUUAUUGGGUUUAAAGGGAGCGUAGGUGGGUUGUUAAGUCAGUUGUGAAAUUUUGCGGCUCAACCGUAAGAUUGCAAUUGAUACUGGCAGUCUUGAGUACAGUUGAGGUAGGCGGAAUUCGUGGUGUAGCGGUGAAAUGCUUAGAUAUCACGAAGAACUCCGAUUGCGAAGGCAGCUUACUAAACUGUCACUGACAUUGAUGCGCGAAAGUGUGGGUAGCAAACAGGAUUAGAUACCCUUGUAGUC
rnacentral:rRNA from 1 species